rnacentral:rRNA from 1 species
UACAGAGGGGGCAAGCGUUGUUCGGAAUUACUGGGCGUAAAGGGCGCGUAGGCGGCCGCCUAAGUCAGACGUGAAAUCCCUCGGCUCAACCGGGGAACUGCGUCUGAUACUGAGUGGCUUGAAUUCGGGAGAGGGAUGCGGAAUUCCAGGUGUAGCGGUGAAAUGCGUAGAUAUCUGGAGGAACACCGGUGGCGAAGGCGGCAUCCUGGACCGAGAUUGACGCUGAGGCGCGAAAGCCAGGGGAGCAAACGGG